rnacentral:rRNA from 1 species
GACGAACGCUGGCGGCGUGCCUAAUACAUGCAAGUAGAACGCACAGUUUAUACCGAGCUUGCUACACCAUAGACUGUGAGUUGCGAACGGGUGAGUAACGCGUAGGUAACCUGCCUGGUAGCGGGGGAUAACUAUUGGAAACGAUAGCUAAUACCGCAUAAUAUUAAUUAUUGCAUGAUAAUUAAUUUAAAGGUGCAAUUGCACCACUACCAGAUGGACCUGCGUUGUAUUAGCUAGUAGGUGAGGUAACGGCUCACCUAGGCGACGAUACAUAGCCGACCUGAGAGGGUGAUCGGCCACACUGGGACUGAGACACGGCCCAGACUCCUACGGGAGGCAGCAGUAGGGAAUCUUCGGCAAUGGACGAAAGUCUGACCGAGCAACGCCGCGUGAGUGAAGAAGGUUUUCGGAUCGUAAAGCUCGGUUGUAAGAGAAGAACGGGUGUGAGAGUGGAAAGUUCACACUGUGACGGUAUCUUACCAGAAAGGGACGGCUAACUACGUG